GACUGGUUGGUAUGAAAGAUAGCAAACUUGUUGGUUAUGAAAGUACUUUUCCCUGUAAUAAUAUCUGCCAAGGCCAACACAAUCCCACCCUUUUACUUGCUGAAAUUCUUGCAUAGCUUGAGCAAACGAAGUUGUUCAGCUACUUUACCAGCAUCAGAACCACAGACACCACCAACAGCCCAUCUUUCCCCAGAUGAUCUUAACAAUCUCCUUAAUAAAGCAACUCAAGAAAAAAAUAUCAGACAUGCCACCCAAAUCCACACCCAACUCAUCAUCCAAGACUACAUUUUUCUACCUUUCCUCUUCAACAAUCUCCUCAACUUGUAUGCUAAAUGUGGCCACCUCAGCCAAGCACUUACCUUCUUCAAUGCUCCAAUGGUGCAAGCAAGAAGAACCCUUAAUCUUGAGCACAAGAAUGUAGUCACUUGGACAUCUGUUAUUACUCAACUGUCACAUUACCACAAGCCCUUUAAAGCUCUCACCUUUUUCAAUGAUAUGAGGAGGACCGGUGUUUACCCGAACCAUUUUACCUUUUCUGCUGUUUUGCCAGCUUGUGCUGAUAGUUUGAUAAUUUUUCAUGGACAUCAGAUUCAUUGUUUGAUUCAUAAACACGGGUUCGAGAGUGAUUUGUUUGUGGGUAGUGCUUUGUUGAACAUGUAUGCGAAAUCUGGUGAUAUGAUGUUGGCGAAGAAGGUGUUUGAUGAAAUGCCUGAAAGAAAUAUUGUUUCUUGGAAUUCUAUGAUCGUCGGUUGCUUGCAAAAUAGCCUUCAUAAUGAGGCUUUUGGGGUUUUUGUAGAAGUUCUUCGUGAGGGGUCCUUGGUUCCUGAUCAAGUGAGCAUUUCUAGUGUUUUAAGUGCUUGUGCUAAUAUGGGUGCUGGUUUGAAUGGUGGGAGACAAGUUCACGGAGUUGUUGUGAAACAUAGGUUGGUGUCUUUAGCCUAUGUGAGGAACUCUUUAAUGGACAUGUAUUUCAAGUGUGGGUGCUUUGAUGAUGGUUUUAAGUUGUGUGGCGCUUUAGAGGACAGAGAUGUUGUUACUUGGAAUAUAAUGAUCAUGGGGUGUGUUGAAAAUGACAACUUUGAGGAGGCUUGCAAC
rnacentral:lncRNA from 1 species